AGUGCCCAGGUAAGGUCAGGGAGGUUGAGGUGUGUCCCAGGUGUAUCCCACGUUAUCUCAGGUGUAUCCCAGGUGUAUCUCAGGUGUAGCCCAGGUGUACCCCAGGUGUAUCUCAGGUGUACCCCAGGUGUAUCUCAGGUGUACCCCAGGUGUAUCUCAGGUGUAACCCAGGUGUAUCUCAGGUGUAUUCCAUCUGUAACCCCGGUGUAUCUCAGGUGUAUCCCAGGUGUAACCCAGGUGUAUCCCAGGUGUAUCCCAGGUGUAACCCAGGUGUAUCACAGAUAUCCCAGGUGUAACCCAGGUAUCUCAGGUGUAUCUCAGGUGUACCCAUGUGUAUCCCAGGUGUAUUUCUCACCCAGGUGUAUUCCCGUUGCAGGUGCCGCGGCUCAGGUGAGGCUGGGUGGGCUCAGGUGUAUCCCAGGUGUAUCCAGGUGUAUCCCAGGUGUAUCACAGAUAUCUCAGGUGUAACCCAGGUGUAACCCAGGUGUAACCCCGGUGUAACCCAGGUGUAUCACAGAUAUCUCAGGUGUACCCAGGUGUAUCCCAGGUGUAACCCCGGUGUAUUCCCAUUGCAGGUGCCGCGGCUCAGGUGUAACCCAGGUGUACCCAGGUGUACCCCAGGUGUAUCUCACCUAUCUCAGGUGUAACCCAGGUGUAUCACAGAUAUCCCAGGUGUAUCCUAGGUGUAACCCAGGUGUAUCUCAGGUGUAACCCAGGUGUAUUUCUCACAGGUGCCGCGGCUCAGGUGAGGCUGGGGGGGCUCAGGUGUAUCUCAGGUGUAUCCCAGGUGUAUCACAGAUAUCCCAUGUGUAACCCAGGUGUAACCCAGGUGUAUCCA
rnacentral:lncRNA from 1 species